rnacentral:rRNA from 1 species
AUACGAAGGUGGCGAGCGUUGUUCGGAUUUACUGGGCGUAAAGAGCACGUAGGCGGUUUGGUAAGCCCCUUGUGAAAGCUCCCGGCUUAACCGGGAAAGGUCGAGGGGAACUGCCAAGCUAGAGGGCGGGAGAGGAGCGCGGAAUUCCCGGUGUAGCGGUGAAAUGCAUAGAUAUCGGGAGGGAGGCCGGUGGCGAAGGCGGCGCUCUGGAACGCCCCUGACGCUGAGGUGCGAAAGCGUGGGGAGCAAACAGGAUUAGAAACCCCAGUAGUCC